CACGUUGAAAACCUUCUUGGGGAUCGUUUUAAAACAUUUUAAAAUGGAAACAUCAAAUGAAUUUCCCUAGAAGAGGGAUGGUUUCAUUUCUUGGGACGAUCUCAUCUAUUAAGUACUUUUGAAGAGUACUUGCUAUUUGAAACGUGAAAAUUUUAAAAAUAAAUAUAUGGCGGUACUGCCUGCACCUUCCCGGACCUCGGUUCUCCCUUCUGUAAAAUGGAGUCAGAAAAGAUGGUUCCCAAAUUCCCCUUCCAGGUCUGUAGGUUGGAAGUCCGAAAUGGGUCUGUCGGCUAAAAUCAAGUGUCUGCAGGGCCGCAUUCCUGUCUGGAGUUGCCUGGCGAGAUUCAGUUGCCCGCUAAUUUGAGUUGGGGGCAGAAUUCAGUCCCUUGCAAUUAUCGGGCUGACGCCCCAGUUUUCUUGCUGGCUGUGAGCUGAGGGCCAUUCUCUGCUUCUAGAGGCCCUCACCUUCCUUGGGUCCCUUCCUCCAUCUUAGAGGCAGCAACGGUGAGUUGGGUCUUCUUGAUGUCCACUCUCUGACCCACUCUUCUCCCAUUUUAAAGGCUCGUGUGAUUAGAUUGGGCCCACCUGGAUAAUGCAGGCUAAUCUUCCCCAAUUCAAGGUCUAUAAUAUAAAUCUGCAAAGUCCCUUUUGUCAGGUCCCUUCCAGUCCUUACCUGAUCGUUCUAACUUAUCUCCACAUGAUGGCAGGAGAGAGGAUAAUCAUGUGAGAACGGAGGCCAAUAUUGAUUCUCGUACGAAUGUAAGUGUUCGGGUUUAUUGAGUGUCCGUAAUGUGCCAGACUCAUUUUAAGCACAGCACAGGCCUCAUCGCACAUCAUCCUUCUAGGGGGUACGUGCUGUUACUUUACUGCCAAGGACAUGGAAGCUCAGA
rnacentral:lncRNA from 1 species